rnacentral:lncRNA from 1 species
CCGCCCCGCCCGCCCCCUUCCUCCCGCGCUGCCCUCGGGAGCCCCGACGGCCCCUGCAGCCCUGCGCCGCCGCAGCCCUGCGCGCCCCUCACCCUGGCUGCCCCGCCGCGGCCAGGAGCCCUCGCCCAUGCCCCUCUCCCUGCAGGAGCCGCCGCGAGCGAGGGCGAGCCGGAGGCCGCGAUGGAGCCGCUCUCGUCCGCCGCAGGGGAAGGAGACCCGAGAGAGGAAAGCAAAUUAAAACGAGGAAUUUUGCAAGACGUGACUUCUUCCCCCAAAUUAGACAGAUACAAAAUAGCAAGACAAUUAACAGAAAAGGCCAUCAAGGUAAAUGCCUUUGGGGCUGGGGGGCAAUCUUUAAAAGUUUUUAUUUAUUUCAGUAAUCUCGUCACCCAACCCGAACUCACGACCCCAAGAUCAAGAGUCAUGUGCUAUUCAGGCUGAAACGUCCAGGUAGGGGUGGGAUCACAGGUUUUAAGUGUGGAAACUUGUUUUGGAAUUUGGGGAGCGAGGAGUUGCCUGUGAUGCGCCGAGCUCCCCAGCCUCCACUGGCCUGGCCCCCAGCGCUGACCCCAGUGGGGCCGCGGGGCAGGUCUGUGGGAGCUGGGGGCCCAGGGAUCCGGAGCCCACGGUGCGGGGGAUGGGCUGGGGGUUGCAAGUGCCGCCUGGUCCUGGCUGCUGGGGCACCGUGCUCUCUAGGAUUUCGUGCCAACGCAGCCCCACCAGCUUGUUCAUUCUCGGGUUUUCUAUUGAAACCUCGGACCUGGUGAACGGGAGGCUGCAAACAUCCCUGCAGACGUUGUGUUAGCUGAUUGCACAAGCUUCUAGCUCAUAGUACUUUUGUUGGGAUGUAGUUCUAAGUGUUUUAUGAUUCACAUUAUUACUUUUCACUGAUUGUGGGUCACUUAAGUGUAGUUAAUGCUUAUACUUUUGGUUUUUUUUUUUCUAUUUUUUUCUUGUAUACAAGAUUUUCUCGUUUUGUUACUUUUUUUACUUUUUAUUUAAAUUCAAUUUAAUUAAUAUAUAAUGUAUUAUGGUUUCAGAGGUAGAAUCAGUGACACGUCAGUUCCCCAUAACUCCCCGUGCUCAUUGCGCCACGGGCCCUCCUUCAUGCCCGUCCCCCAGGGAUCCUGUCUGCUCCAGGGACCCUUAAUUUAUUUCCUGUGAUUCAGUCUCUCACGGUUUGCCUCCCUCUCUGAUUUCGUCUUGUUUUAUUUUUGCCUCCCUUCCCCUGUUUUGUUUCUUAAAUUCCACAUACGAGUGAGAUCACAGGGCAAUCGUCUUUCUCUGGCUGUCUUGUGUCACUCAGCGUCACACCCUCCAGGUCCAUCCACGUCGUCACAAAUGGGGAGAUUUCUUUGUCUGAUGGUUGAGGAAUAUUCCGUUGUAUAUGUAGGCCACACCUCGUGGAUCUGUGUUCUGUCCGCGGACACCGUGGCUCCUUCCACAGUCUGGCUCUUGUGGACGUGGCCACUGUGAACACUGAAGUCUAGUUGCCCCUUUGGAUCACUGUGUUUGUAUCCUUUAGAUAAGUACCAUUUUUUUCUAUUUUGUCACUGAUUUCUAGCUUGAUUGCAUGUGCUUAAGAAUGUAAUCUGCAUAAUGUCGUCCCAUUAAAAUGUGUUCAGACUUGCAUUAUGGCCAGCAAUCUGGGCGUUCGUGUGAAAGUCGACAUGGGUUACUCUAUUCCUAGUCAUCAGGGCAGAGCUGGUUGUUUGCGUUUGUUCAACUCGUUGAGGCUGCUUGAAAUCUCUGGGCUGUGUGCUCGGUCACGUACCGAGAGAAGCGUGUUAACACCCUGCUACCAGUGUGGACUCCUUCACUUUGUGGUUGCCAAGGUUUGCUCUGUAUGAUGGACGGCCCUCUUACCAGGUGCCUCCAGGAGUAUCCUCCCGGAGAAUGGAAUUUUUUAAUAUAUUAUGGCAUGAUUUUCUUUAUGUCAGUGAUUUAUUUUGUCCCAAAGGCUAUUUUCUUCCUUUUAUGUCCCACCUACCUGUAGGCUUGCGCUUUAGGUUUUCUCAGGUAAACAACAUAGAUUGAGAUUUUUAAAAAUCCAGCGUGGCGCUCUACACCCUUCUCCUGGAGCGGUUGGUGUGUUCAUCUGUAACGGCUCCCCCGGUGCCCCGGACGCCCCUGGGUGUCCCCGUGUCCUCGCUCCUUCCUCCUGUCCGCUCUG